UUGCAGUCAGUUAAGCCAACCAUGCUCUUUUCUCCAUGGGGUCUCAGUGUGCAAUGGCUGCAAACAGCAGCCUCCUCGGUAGUAUAUGCAGCCAGUUGCCUGUAUGGGUUGCCCUAAGGGACAGGGAGACAGCC